rnacentral:rRNA from 1 species
ACGCUCGACACCUACGUGAGGCAGCAGUGGGGAAUAUUGCACAAUGGGGGAAACCCUGAUGCAGCGAUGCCGCGUGAAGGAAGAAGUAUCUCGGUAUGUAAACUUCUAUCAGCAGGGAAGAAAAUGACGGUACCUGACUAAGAAGCCCCGGCUAACUACGUGCCAGCAGCCGUGGUAAUCUGAGCGGGCUGGCAAGGC